rnacentral:rRNA from 1 species
CACGCCGCGUGAGUGAUGAAGGUUUUCGGAUCGUAAAGCUCUGUUGUUAGGGAAGAACAAGUACCGUUCGAAUAGGGCGGUACCUUGACGGUACCUAACCAGAAAGCCACGGCUAACUACGUGCCAGCAGCCGCGGUAAUACGUAGGUGGCAAGCGUUGUCCGGAAUUAUUGGGCGUAAAGGGCUCGCAGGCGGUUUCUUAAGUCUGAUGUGAAAGCCCCCGGCUCAACCGGGGAGGGUCAUUGGAAACUGGGGAACUUGAGUGCAGAAGAGGAGAGUGGAAUUCCACGUGUAGCGGUGAAAUGCGUAGAGAUGUGGAGGAACACCAGUGGCGAAGGCGACUCUCUGGUCUGUAACUGACGCUGAGGAGCGAAAGCGUGGGGAGCGAACAGGAUUAGAUACCCUGGUAGUCCACGCCGUAAACGAUGAGUGCUAAGUGUUAGGGGGUUUCCGCCCCUUACUGCUGCAGCUAACGCAUUAAGCACUCCGCCCUGGGGAG